rnacentral:rRNA from 1 species
GACGGAGGGUGCAAGCGUUGUUCGGAUUGACUGGGCGUAAAGGGCGUGUAGGCGGUCGGCCAAGUCUGAUGUGAAAGCCCGAGCUCAGCCUCGGAAGUGCGCCGGAAACUAGUCGGCUGGAGCGCGAUAGAGGAGGGUGGAAUUCCUGGUGUAGCGGUGAAAUGCGUAGAUAUCAGGAGGAACACCGGCGGCGAAGGCGGCCCUCUGGAUCGUUGCUGACGCUGAGACGCGAAAGCGUGGGGGAGCAAACAGG